rnacentral:snoRNA from 1 species
AACCCAUGAUUUGGGCAUUUUUCCAACAUCAUUUUGAAUCUCUCUCAUGUCUCACAAAAAGGUUCAUCUACUCAUUGUCUGAACAUAGAGAUUUCAUACUUUGUUU